UCCCUAGUGGUCCAAUGGUUAAGAUGCUGCGCUUCGAACGCAGGGGGCACAGGUUCAAUUCCUGGUCAGGGAA